AGCAGGUGCUUUUCAGUAGCACCCACAUAUCACUCUGAAAACAUGAAUGAAACAGAAAAUCAGUCAGUGUCACAGGCUUGGCAUGAAGUGGUGUACUUUGAGGAAAUACUAGUUGAGACCUGCCAGCUCGAAGGGUGUUUUUGCCACAUGCAGUCCUGUCCUCAUGCAGCCUUCCUGUGAACAGCACUGCCAGCUUGGGUGGGCUACCAAGGAAACACCGAGAAUUUGUCGGACUUGAAAAGAAAGCAAACGGACUGUGAAUUUGUUAGAGGCUGCAGGUGGUUUUGAUCGGCUGAGCGGAGUCUGUGCCGGAAACAUUACGGCUCCUGAGCCUCCCGGAGGACCUCAGCAGACAGGGCUCCACAGCCACGCUGAUGACUCAUGGGCAGGAACUCUCCUCCCAGCGAGUGGCACUAGUGGGGAAAAAGUGACCUAGCCAAAAUGACUCACAGGGGAGCAAAGGCUCCAGAGCAGGGCUGCCCUGGCAGCCUGCUGACACACUUAACUCCAGCAGCUGCCACUACAGCCAGCGAGCAGAAUGAUUGCAUAACUGGUGGGAAAGCAAA